GGAUGAGAAGAGCUUGCUCUUCGAUUCAGCGGCGGACGGGUGAGUAAUGCCUAGGAAUCUGCCUGGUAGUGGGGGACAACGUUUCGAAAGGAACGCUAAUACCGCAUACGUCCUACGGGAGAAAGCAGGGGACCUUCGGGCCUUGCGCUAUCAGAUGAGCCUAGGUCGGAUUAGCUAGUUGGUGAGGUAAUGGCUCACCAAGGCGACGAUCCGUAACUGGUCUGAGAGGAUGAUCAGUCACACUGGAACUGAGACACGGUCCAGACUCCUACGGGAGGCAGCAGUGGGGAAUAUUGGACAAUGGGCGAAAGCCUGAUCCAGCCAUGCCGCGUGUGUGAAGAAGGUCUUCGGAUUGUAAAGCACUUUAAGUUGGGAGGAAGGGCAUUAACCUAAUACGUUAGUGUUUUGACGUUACCGACAGAAUAAGCACCGGCUAACUCUGUGCCAGCAGCCGCGGUAAUACAGAGGGUGCAAGCGUUAAUCGGAAUUACUGGGCGUAAAGCGCGCGUAGGUGGUUUGUUAAGUUGGAUGUGAAAGCCCCGGGCUCAACCUGGGAACUGCAUCCAAAACUGGCAAGCUAGAGUACGGUAGAGGGUGGUGGAAUUUCCUGUGUAGCGGUGAAAUGCGUAGAUAUAGGAAGGAACACCAGUGGCGAAGGCGACCACCUGGACUGAUACUGACACUGAGGUGCGAAAGCGUGGGGAGCAAACAGGAUUAGAUACCCUGGUAGUCCACGCCGUAAACGAUGUCAACUAGCCGUUGGAAUCCUUGAGAUUUUAGUGGCGCAGCUAACGCAUUAAGUUGACCGCCUGGGGAGUACGGCCGCAAGGUUAAAAC
rnacentral:rRNA from 1 species